CAGUCGCCGCGGUAAUACGUAUGUCACAAGCGUUAUCCGGAUUUAUUGGGCGUAAAGCGCGCGCAGGCGGUUAGAUAAGUCCGAAGUUAAAGGCUGUGGCUUAACCAUAGUACGCUUUGGAAACUGUUUAACUUGAGUGCAAGAGGGGAGAGUGGAAUUCCAUGUGUAGCGGUGAAAUGCGUAGAUAUAUGGAGGAACACCGGUGGCGAAAGCGGCUCUCUGGCUUGUAACUGACGCUGAGGCUCGAAAGCGUGGGGAGCAAACAGGAUUAGAUACCCCCGUAGUCCCUGUCUCUUAUACA
rnacentral:rRNA from 1 species